CCCAGCUCCCCGCUCCUGAGCCAUCUUCCAGCUAUCCCGCCUCGAGACUCCCACCGCACCUGCUCCUGGGCUGCAGCUGCACCCAACAAGUCAACAUGUGGAUUGCUUCUAGAAUUUGGAUAUUAUGAACACUGCUGUGCUGAACAUUCUUGUACACUUAUAUGGUUUGGCUGUGUCCCCACCCAAAUCUCAUCUUGAAUUGUAGCUCCCAUAAUUCCUAUGUGUCGUGGGAGGGACCCAAUGGGAGGUAAUUGAAUCAUAGGGGCAGGUCUUUCCCCUGCUGUCCUUAUGAUAGUGAAUAAGUCUCAUGAGAUCUGAUGGUUUUAUACAUGGGAGUUCCCCUGCACAA
rnacentral:lncRNA from 1 species